rnacentral:rRNA from 1 species
CCUACGGGGGGCAGCAGUGGGGGAUAUUGCACAAUGGGGGGAACCCUGAUGCAGCGACGCCGCGUGAGCGAAGAAGUACCUCGGUAUGUAAAGCUCUAUCAGCAGGGAAGAAAAUGACGGUACCUGACUAAGAAGCCCCGGCUAAAUACGUGCCAGCAGCCGCGGUAAUACGUAUGGGGCAAGCGUUAUCCGGAUUUACUGGGUGUAAAGGGAGCGUAGACGGCAGCGCAAGUCUGGAGUGAAAUGCCGGGGCUCAACCCCGGAACUGCUUUGGAAACUGUGCGGCUCGAGUGCGGGAGAGGUAG